GUAGUUGAAAUGGCUUUCCCUCCAGAGUGGAUCCUGAGUACGGCGGAACACGUGAAAUUCCGUCGGAAUCCGGGAGGACCAUCUCCCAAGGCUAAAUACUCCCUAGUGACCGAUAGUGAACCAGUACCGUGAGGGAAAGGUGAAAAGCACCCCGGAAGGGGAGUGAAACAGUUCCUGAAACCGUGUGCCUACAAGUAGUUAGAGCCCGUUAAUGGGUGAUAGCGUGCCUUUUGUAGAAUGAACCGGCGAGUUACGAUUUGUUGCAAGGUUAAGCGGAAAAAGCGGAGCCGUAGCGAAAGCGAGUCUGAAUAGGGCGCAUAAGUAACAGGUCGUAGACCCGAAACCAGGUGAUCUACCCAUGUCCAGGAUGAAGGUAAGGUAAUACUUACUGGAGGUCCGAACCCACGCACGUUGAAAAGUGCGGGGAUGAGGUGUGGGUAGCGGAGAAAUUCCAAUCGAACUUGGAGAUAGCUGGUUCUCUCCGAAAUAGCUUUAGGGCUAGCCUCGAGGUAAAGAGUCAUGGAGGUAGAGCACUGUUUGGACUAGGGGCCCUUCUCGGGUUACCGAAUUCAGAUAAACUCCGAAUGCCAUGUACUUAUACUCGGGAGUCAGACUGCGAGUGAUAAGAUCCGUAGUCGAAAGGGAAACAGCCCAGACCACCAGUUAAGGUCCCCAAAUAUAUGUUAAGUGGAAAAGGAUGUGGGGUUGCUUAGACAACCAGGAUGUUGGCUUAGAAGCAGCCACCAUUGAAAGAGUGCGUAAUAGCUCACUGGUCGAGUGACCCCGCGCCGAAAAUGUACCGGGGCUAAACAUAUUACCGAAACUGUGGAUGAACCUCUUUAGAGGUUCGUGGUAGGAGAGCGUUCUAAGGGCGGUGAAGUCAGACCGGAAGGACUGGUGGAGCGCUUAGAAGUGAGAAUGCCGGUAUGAGUAGCGAAAGAAGGGUGAGAAUCCCUUCCACCGAAUAUCUAAGGUUUCCUGAGGAAGGCUCGUCCGCUCAGGGUUAGUCGGGACCUAAGCCGAGGCCGAUAGGCGUAGGCGAUGGACAACAGGUAGAGAUUCCUGUACCAGUGCUAAUUGUUUAACCGAUGGGGUGACACAGAAGGAUAGGGAAUCGCACGAAUGGAAAUGUGCGUCCAAGCAGUGAGUGUGAGAAGUAGGCAAAUCCGCUUCUCGCGAAGCAUGAGCUGUGAUGGGGAAGGAAAUUAAGUACGGAAGUUCCUGAUUUCACGCUGUCAAGAAAAGCCUCUAGGAAGAGUAGUACUGCCCGUACCGCAAACCGACACAGGUAGAUGAGGAGAGAAUCCUAAGGUGAGCGAGAGAACUCUCGUUAAGGAACUCGGCAAAAUGACCCCGUAACUUCGGGAGAAGGGGUGCUCUAUUAGGGUGCAAGCCCGAGAGAGCCGCAGUGAAUAGGCCCAGGCGACUGUUUAGCAAAAACACAGGUCUCUGCAAAACCGUAAGGUGACGUAUAGGGGCUGACGCCUGCCCGGUGCUGGAAGGUUAAGAGGAGUGCUUAGCUUCGGCGAAGGUACGAAUUGAAGCCCCAGUAAACGGCGGCCGUAACUAUAACGGUCCUAAGGUAGCGAAAUUCCUUGUCGGGUAAGUUCCGACCCGCACGAAAGGCGCAACGAUCUGGGCACUGUCUCAACGAGAGACUCGGUGAAAUUAUAGUACCUGUGAAGAUGCAGGUUACCCGCGACAGGACGGAAAGACCCCGUGGAGCUUUACUGCAACCUGAUAUGGAAUGUUUGUACCGCUUGUACAGGAUAGGUAGGAGCCGAAGAGACGUGUGCGCUAGCAUACGAGGAGGCAAUGGUGGGAUACUACCCUGGCUGUAUGACCAUUCUAACCCGCCACGCUUAGCGCGUGGGGAGACAGUGUCAGGUGGGCAGUUUGACUGGGGCGGUCGCCUCCUAAAGAGUAACGGAGGCGCCCAAAGGUUCCCUCAGAAUGGAUGGAAAUCAUUCGCAGAGUGUAAAGGCACAAGGGAGCUUGACUGCGAGACUGACAAGUCGAGCAGGGACGAAAGUCGGGCUUAGUGAUCCGGUGGUUCCGCAUGGAAGGGCCAUCGCUCAACGGAUAAAAGCUACCCCGGGGAUAACAGGCUUAUCUCCCCCAAGAGUCCACAUCGACGGGGAGGUUUGGCACCUCGAUGUCGGCUCGUCGCAUCCUGGGGCUGUAGUCGGUCCCAAGGGUUGGGCUGUUCGCCCAUUAAAGCGGCACGCGAGCUGGGUUCAGAACGUCGUGAGACAGUUCGGUCCCUAUCCGUCGCGGGCGCAGGAAAUUUGAGAGGAGCUGUCCUUAGUACGAGAGGACCGGGAUGGACACACCGCUGGUGUACCAGUUGUUCCGCCAGGAGCAUCGCUGGGUAGCUAUGUGUGGCAGGGAUAAACGCUGAAAGCAUCUAAGCGUGAAGCCCCCCUCAAGAUGAGAUUUCCCAUUUCUUCGGAAAGUAAGAUCCCUGAAAGAUGAUCAGGUAGAUAGGU
rnacentral:rRNA from 1 species